AGAAAUGCCUGGCAGUCAGACUGCACGCAUGAGGGACAUCUUACUAAAGGCACCCAAAGCCUCCAUCCUGAACUCCAUAAUUUGUAAGAUUCAUGUUCUCUGCAUGGCUCAACACUCUGGCUUUCCAAAACGAACCAAUUCAGUGAAGGAUAGAAAACCUUGUGAGCAGUACCGUUGGGCUCACCCAUUUUCAUGUGACUUCCCUUCACCGUAUUAUACGUGCGGCGGCCUGUGAUACACUUCAAUUCCUUCUCUUUUUGUCGCGCCCCCCUUUUAAAUACCAUCAAUCUCUCACGACCUAUAUACCUCGCUCAUCGAUCUCGAUCUUUCUAUAUCCAACCGGGAAGCCAAGGCCAUGAGAAUUUCCAUCUUUUUCGCAGUACUAGUACUACUACUCGUUUCAUUUCCAGCCAACAUGAUUGCCAGGCACAUCGGCCGCUGGGCUUGGGAGCAGUCAUAUAAUGGCCACCAUCACGAAGGGGAAGAUACAACAUCGGCAAUUAGCACAGACAUAUUGCCACCAAUGGACAGCGGUGAAGGGCAAAGGGAAGUGAAAAGAGGCCACUUACUCCAAGUCGAAGUUGCUGGCUCAAGGUUACCCGAUUGCACGCAUGCUUGUGGCUCCUGUUCACCUUGUCGGUUGGUCAUGGUUAGCUUCGCAUGCGUCACGCUCACUGGGGCAGAGACGUGCCCUAUAUCAUAUAAGUGUAUGUGUAACAAUAAGUCUUAUCCAGUUCCCUAAUCAGUAAUCACCUCUCUCUCUCUCUCUCUCUCUCUCUCUCUCUCUCAUAUUGUAUGUAGUGUUAGUCAGCUUCAAGUAGCUAGAGAUUAGUUGCUUCGACAUGUGUUAAUUCAAUAUAUAGUACUAUUUUCACGGUUCUGGUAA